AAAAUCCCUCCGUAUGGGCUGGGUCUUCUCUUGUUUAUUUUGGACUAUAUAUAUAAAGAGCAAAACCAAACAGAUCCUUCUUAACAGACUCGAAAGUUAAAACUCACUUUUCCCUGCUUCAUUUCUCUGCCCACAAGGCCAAACACACUGUUGGAAUUCAAGCUGCAUACUAUCUUGUCCCCUUUCUGAAGCUGGUCAAGCAUGGGAAACAAACCUGUUAAGCAAGAAAGAGAAGCUGUGUCUCCAUUGGCACCAAACAGGCCAGAGUUUCUCUUAAAAAUCGUGCCACCAAUGGACCAUGCUUAUGUUCGGUGGCUUGCUCGUGAUCUUGAGAGGAUUCAUGGCUUUACUCCAAGAAAUUGCCGUGCAGUGACGCCACCAGAUCAUUAUGUUGAAUACAUGCGAUCACAUGGUUGGUUGGAUGUGAACUUGGAUGAUCCUGAUCUGGCUCAUUUGUUUCCAAGUAAAUAAUCAUGUAAUCAAGGCAGGUGGUGAUCCUCUUACUAGAAGUGUAAUUAGGGAAAUGGAAUUUCUAAUCUUUGCUGGAAAGUUGAACAUGAGAGGUGGGCUGUUUAUCAAAUCAUCAUCAUCAUCAUUUUGCUGCAGAUGUGUUGCAAGAACUUAAGAUAAUUUGUAAUAUCAGAAAUCCCUAGAGGGACAAGAAACUCUUUAGAUAAUCAGUUAUGCUUCCUGGUAUAAAUAUUGGUGCAUUUCCAAUGUCA